rnacentral:lncRNA from 1 species
AGUAGAACUACUUACCUUUCCUGUUAAUCAUCUUCCCCCAGUAUUUUAUAUUUAAUGAGCAUUGUUAUCUUCUGUUUUUGCUUACGUUCAAAGUUUAAGAAUACUUCUAAUACAGUCCCCUUUUUGUCUAUCUAUAUUCAAUCAAUCUCCAUUGCUUAUUAAUUUUUUCUUACUAAUGUCUCGAAUAUUGUUCUGAUUUUCUUUGAAUACCUUAGUUCAGUCCCUU